AGGAGGAAUAAGAGGAGGAGAAGGUAGCUACAUCAAACUGGGUGACAGGCAGAUCCAAAGGAUAUCAUGAAGUUUCCAGGACCUUUGGAAAACCAGAGAUUGUCUUUCCUGUUGGAAAAGGCAAUCGCUAGGGAAGCCCAGAUGUGGAAGGUGAAUGUGCGCAAAAUGCCAACAAAUCAGAAUGUUUCUCCAUCCAAGAGAGAUGAAGUGAUUCAGUGGCUGGUCAAACUCAAGUACCAGUUCAGCCUUUACCCAGAAACAUUUGCUUUGGCUAGCAGUGUUUUGGACAGGUUUUUAGCUACUGUAAAGGCCCACCCAAAAUACUUGAGUUGUAUUGCGAUCAGCCGUUUUUUCUGGGCUGCCAAGACUGUUGAGGAUGAGAGAAUUCUGGUACUGAAGGUGUUGGCAAGAGACAGUUUCUGUGGAUGUUCUUCUUCUGAAAUUCUGAGAAUGGAGAGAAUUAUUCUGGAUAAAUUGAAUUGGGAUCUUCACACAGCCACGCCAUUGGAUUUUCUCCACGUUUUCCAUGCCAUUGCAGUGUCAACUAGGCCUCAGUUACUCUUCAGUUUGCCCAAACUGAGCCCGUCUCAGCAUUUGGCAGCCCUUACCAAGCAACUCCUUCAUUGUAUGGCCUGCAACCAACUUCUGCAAUUCAAAGGAUCCAUGCUUGCUUGCUCUGGCCAUGGUUAGUUUGGAAAUGGAGAAACUCAUUCCUGAUUGGCUUCCUCUUACAAUUGAACUGCUUCAGAAAGCACAGAUGGAUAGCUCCCAGUUGAUCCACUGUCGGGAGCUUGUGGCACAUCACCUUUCUACUCUGCAGUCUUCCCUGCUUCUAAAUUCCGUUUGGCUACCGUCCCCUCAAGCGCACCCUGGUGACCGGUGACAAAGGAGUGUUCAGAUUACAUUCCUCCUCUGUCCCAGGCCCAGAUUUCUCCAAGGACAGCAGCAAACCAGAAGUGCCAGUCAGAGGUACAGCAGCCUUCUACCAUCAUCUCCCAGCUGCCAGUGGGUGCAAGCAUACCUCUGAUAAACGCAAAGUAGAGGAAAUGGAAGUGGAUGACUUCUAUGAUGGAAUCAAACGGCUCUAUAAUGAAGACAGUGCUUCAGAAAAUGUGGGUUCUGUGUGUGGCACUGAUUUAUCAAGGCAAGAGGGACAUGCUUCCCCUUGUCCACCUUUGCAACCUGUUUCUGUCAUGUAGUUUGAACAAGUGUUACCUCCAGGUGCAAAACGAAGGUAGACUACUCUGGGAAUAAGAACAUGCAAAACCAGGAAAGGAUAUAUAAGGGAUAUAUACCUUACCAGGCUGAAUUGAAGUGAGCCAGAAAAACAAAAAAAAAAACCC